GAAGGAGUUGUGGCCCUUCGGAGUCGCCAGUCGGGUGGGAGGCUUCAAACCACCUCAUGCUGCGUUGGCUGAAGACCGUCGUGGUGAGCGAUGAGGAAAAGGCGCUGGUAGAAGCGUCAGGC
rnacentral:ncRNA from 1 species